GACGAACGCUGGCGGCGUGCCUAAUACAUGCAAGUCGAACGAGAGCAACCGGUGCUUGCACUGGUCAAUCUAGUGGCGAACGGGUGAGUAACACGUGGGUAACCUGCCCAUCAGAGGGGGAUAACAUCCGGAAACGGAUGCUAAAAUCGCAUAGGUCUUCGAACCGCAUGGUUUGAAGAGGAAAAGAGGCGCAAGCUUCUGCUGAUGGAUGGACCCGCGGUGCAUUAGCUAGUUGGUGAGGUAACGGCUCACCAAGGCCGUGAUGCAUAGCCGACCUGAGAGGGUGAUCGGCCACAUUGGGACUGAGACACGGCCCAAACUCCUACGGGAGGCAGCAGUAGGGAAUCUUCCGCAAUGGACGCAAGUCUGACGGAGCAACGCCGCGUGAGUGAAGAAGGUUUUCGGAUCGUAAAACUCUGUUGUUAGAGAAGAACAAGUGCUAGAGUAACUGUUAGCGCCUUGACGGUAUCUAACCAGAAAGCCACGGCUAACUACGUG
rnacentral:rRNA from 1 species